UUAAGCGACUAAGCGUACACGGUGGAUGCCCUGGCAGUCAGAGGCGAUGAAGGACGUGCUAAUCUGCGAUAAGCGUCGGUAAGGUGAUAUGAACCGUUAUAACCGGCGAUUUCCGAAUGGGGAAACCCAGUGUGAUCCGUCACACUAUCAUUAACUGAAUCCAUAGGUUAAUGAGGCGAACCGGGGGAACUGAAACAUCUAAGUACCCCGAGGAAAAGAAAUCAACCGAGAUUCCCCCAGUAGCGGCGAGCGAACGGGGAGGAGCCCAGAGCCUGAAUCAGUAUGUGUGUUAGUGGAAGCGUCUGGAAAGGCGUGCGAUACAGGGUGACAGCCCCGUACACAAAAAUGCACAUGCUGUGAGCUCGAUGAGUAGGGCGGGACACGUGGUAUCCUGUCUGAAUAUGGGGGGACCAUCCUCCAAGGCUAAAUACUCCUGACUGACCGAUAGUGAACCAGUACCGUGAGGGAAAGGCGAAAAGAACCCCGGCGAGGGGAGUGAAAAAGAACCUGAAACCGUGUACGUACAAGCAGUGGGAGCCUCUUUAAUGGGGUGACUGCGUACCUUUUGUAUAAUGGGUCAGCGACUUAUAUUCUGUAGCAAGGUUAACCGAAUAGGGGAGCCGAAGGGAAACCGAGUCUUAACUGGGCGUUAAGUUGCAGGGUAUAGACCCGAAACCCGGUGAUCUAGCCAUGGGCAGGUUGAAGGUUGGGUAACACUAACUGGAGGACCGAACCGACUAAUGUUGAAAAAUUAGCGGAUGACUUGUGGCUGGGGGUGAAAGGCCAAUCAAACCGGGAGAUAGCUGGUUCUCCCCGAAAGCUAUUUAGGUAGCGCCUCGUGAAUUCAUCUCCGGGGGUAGAGCACUGUUUCGGCAAGGGGGUCAUCCCGACUUACCAACCCGAUGCAAACUGCGAAUACCGGAGAAUGUUAUCACGGGAGACACACGGCGGGUGCUAACGUCCGUCGUGAAGAGGGAAACAACCCAGACCGCCAGCUAAGGUCCCAAAGUCAUGGUUAAGUGGGAAACGAUGUGGGAAGGCCCAGACAGCCAGGAUGUUGGCUUAGAAGCAGCCAUCAUUUAAAGAAAGCGUAAUAGCUCACUGGUCGAGUCGGCCUGCGCGGAAGAUGUAACGGGGCUAAACCAUGCACCGAAGCUGCGGCAGCGACACUAUGUGUUGUUGGGUAGGGGAGCGUUCUGUAAGCCGUUGAAGGUGUGCUGUGAGGCAUGCUGGAGGUAUCAGAAGUGCGAAUGCUGACAUAAGUAACGAUAAAGCGGGUGAAAAGCCCGCUCGCCGGAAGACCAAGGGUUCCUGUCCAACGUUAAUCGGGGCAGGGUGAGUCGACCCCUAAGGCGAGGCCGAAAGGCGUAGUCGAUGGGAAACAGGUUAAUAUUCCUGUACUUGGUGUUACUGCGAAGGGGGGACGGAGAAGGCUAUGUUGGCCGGGCGACGGUUGUCCCGGUUUAAGCGUGUAGGCUGAUUUUCCAGGCAAAUCCGGAGAAUCAAGGCUGAGGCGUGAUGACGAGGCACUACGGUGCUGAAGCAACAAAUGCCCUGCUUCCAGGAAAAGCCUCUAAGCAUCAGGUAACAUCAAAUCGUACCCCAAACCGACACAGGUGGUCAGGUAGAGAAUACCAAGGCGCUUGAGAGAACUCGGGUGAAGGAACUAGGCAAAAUGGUGCCGUAACUUCGGGAGAAGGCACGCUGAUGGUAGGUGAAGCGACUUGCUCGUGGAGCUGAAAUCAGUCGAAGAUACCAGCUGGCUGCAACUGUUUAUUAAAAACACAGCACUGUGCAAACACGAAAGUGGACGUAUACGGUGUGACGCCUGCCCGGUGCCGGAAGGUUAAUUGAUGGGGUCAGCCGCAAGGCGAAGCUCUUGAUCGAAGCCCCGGUAAACGGCGGCCGUAACUAUAACGGUCCUAAGGUAGCGAAAUUCCUUGUCGGGUAAGUUCCGACCUGCACGAAUGGCGUAAUGAUGGCCAGGCUGUCUCCACCCGAGACUCAGUGAAAUUGAACUCGCUGUGAAGAUGCAGUGUACCCGCGGCAAGACGGAAAGACCCCGUGAACCUUUACUAUAGCUUGACACUGAACAUUGAGCCUUGAUGUGUAGGAUAGGUGGGAGGCUUUGAAGUGUGGACGCCAGUCUGCAUGGAGCCGACCUUGAAAUACCACCCUUUAAUGUUUGAUGUUCUAACGUGGACCCGUGAUCCGGGUUGCGGACAGUGUCUGGUGGGUAGUUUGACUGGGGCGGUCUCCUCCUAAAGAGUAACGGAGGAGCACGAAGGUUGGCUAAUCCUGGUCGGACAUCAGGAGGUUAGUGCAAUGGCAUAAGCCAGCUUGACUGCGAGCGUGACGGCGCGAGCAGGUGCGAAAGCAGGUCAUAGUGAUCCGGUGGUUCUGAAUGGAAGGGCCAUCGCUCAACGGAUAAAAGGUACUCCGGGGAUAACAGGCUGAUACCGCCCAAGAGUUCAUAUCGACGGCGGUGUUUGGCACCUCGAUGUCGGCUCAUCACAUCCUGGGGCUGAAGUAGGUCCCAAGGGUAUGGCUGUUCGCCAUUUAAAGUGGUACGCGAGCUGGGUUUAGAACGUCGUGAGACAGUUCGGUCCCUAUCUGCCGUGGGCGCUGGAGAACUGAGGGGGGCUGCUCCUAGUACGAGAGGACCGGAGUGGACGCAUCACUGGUGUUCGGGUUGUCAUGCCAAUGGCACUGCCCGGUAGCUAAAUGCGGAAGAGAUAAGUGCUGAAAGCAUCUAAGCACGAAACUUGCCCCGAGAUGAGUUCUCCCUGAGACUUUAAGUCUCCUGAAGGAACGUUGAAGACGACGACGUUGAUAGGCCGGGUGUGUAAGCGCAGCGAUGCGUUGAGCUAACCGGUACUAAUGAACCGUGAGGCUUAACCUU
rnacentral:rRNA from 1 species